AUGAGCUUAGUGUAGUGGUAGCAUAACAGUCUCCAAAACUGUUGGGAAAGGUUCAAGUCCUUUAGCUCAUGCCA
rnacentral:tRNA from 1 species